CCUACGGGGCGCAGCAGUGGGGAAUAUUGGACAAUGGGCGAAAGCCUGAUCCAGCCAUGCCGCGUGUGUGAAGAAGGCCUUCGGGUUGUAAAGCACUUUCAGUGGGGAAGAAAGCCUUGGGGCUAAUACCCUCGAGGAAGGACAUCACCCACAGAAGAAGCACCGGCUAACUCCGUGCCAGCAGCCGCGGUACUACGGAGGGUGCGAGCGUUAAUCGGAAUUACUGGGCGUAAAGCGCGCGUAGGCGGUCUGAUAAGCCGGUUGUGAAAGCCCCGGGCUCAACCUGGGAACGGCAUCCGGAACUGUCAGGCUAGAGUGCAGGAGAGGAAGGUAGAAUUCCCGGUGUAGCGGUGAAAUGCGUAGAGAUCGGGAGGAAUACCAGUGGCGAAGGCGGCCUUCUGGACUGACACUGACGCUGAGGUGCGAAAGCGUGGGUAGCAAACAGGAUUAGAUACCCCAGUAGUC
rnacentral:rRNA from 1 species